GCAGAACGCGAAGAACCUUACCUGGUCUUGACAUGUCUGGAAUCCCGAAGAGAUUUGGGAGUGCCGCAAGGAACCAGAACACAGGUGCUGCAUGGCUGUCGUCAGCUCGUGUCGUGAGAUGUUGGGUUAAGUCCCGCAACGAGCGCAACCCUUGUCCUUAGUUGCCAUCAUUUAGUUGGGAACUCUAAGGAGACCGCCGGUGACAAACCGGAGGAAGGUGGGGAUGACGUCAAGUCAUCAUGGCCUUUAUGACCAGGGCUACACACGUGCUACAAUGGCAGGUACAGAGGGAAGCCAACCAGCAAUGGGGAGCCAAUCCCAGAAAGCCUGUCUUAGUCCGGAUUGGAGUCUGCAACUCGACUCCAUGAAGCUGGGAUCGCUAGUAAUCGCAGAUCAGCAUUGCUGCGGUGAAUACGUUCCCGGGUCUUGUACACACCG
rnacentral:rRNA from 1 species